rnacentral:rRNA from 1 species
UUCGAUCAUGGCUCAGAUUGAACGCUGGCGGGAUCUUUUACAUGCAAGUCAGACAGCGGCACGGACUUCGGUCUGGUGGCGGUGGCGAACAGGUGAGUAAUGUAUCGGAACGUGCCUAGUAGCGGGGGAUAACUACGCAGCGUAGCUAAUGCCGCAUGCACCUUCGGGGGAAAGCGGGGAACCUUCCGGGCCUCGCACUAUUGAGCGGCCGAUAUCGGAUUAGCUAGUUGGUGGGGUAACGGCUCACCAAGGCGACGAUCCGUAGCUGGUUUGAGAGGACGACCAGCCACUGCAGGACUGAGACGGCCCCAGACUCCUGCAGGAGGCAGCAUUCAGGAAUUUACACGGACAAUGGAAACAGUCCAGCCAUCCCGCGUGUGCGAUGAACCUUCGGUUGUAAAAAGCACUUUGGCGGGAAAAAACAGCACGGGAUAAUACCCCGUGCAACUGACGGUACCUGCAGAAUAAGCACCAAGCCUAACAGUGCCAGCAGCCGCGGUAAUACGUAGGGCGCAAGCAUUAAUCGAGAUUACUGGGCGUGAAGGCGGCAACGCAGGCGGUUCGGAAGAAAGAUGUAAUCCCAGAGCUUAACUGGAACUGCAUUUUAACUACCGAGCUAGAGUGUGUCAGAGGAGGUGGAAUUCCACGCGUGUAGCGGUGGAUGCGUAGAUAUGCGGAGGAACACCGAUGGCGAAGGCAGCCUCACCAGGAUAACACUGACGCUCAUGCACGAAAGCGUGGGGAGCAAACAGGAUUAGAUACCCUGGUAGUCCACGCCCUAAACGAUGUCAACUAGCUGUUGGGGCCUUCGGGCCUUGGUAGCCAUAUUAACAUGUAAGUUGACCGCUUAUGGGGAAAUACAGUGCCAAGAUUAAAACUCAAAAGGAAUUGACGGGGACCCACUGGCUUAAGUUGGAUGAUGUGGAUUAAUUCGAUGCAACGCGAAAAACCUUACUACCCUUGGCUUGUGUCUGGAAUCAAUUUGGGAGUGCUCGCAAGAGAACGGAACACAGGUGCUGCAUGGCUGUCGUCAGCUCGUGUAAUGAGAUAUUUGGGUUAAGUCCCGCAACGAGCGCAACCCUUGUCAUUAGUUGCUGCGAAGGGCACUCGUGACUGCCGGUGACAAACCGGAGGAAGGUGGGGAUGACGUCAGUCCUCAUGGCCCUUAUGGGUGGGGCUUCGUCAUGCAAUGGUCGGGACAGAGGGUCGCCAACCCGCGAGGGGAGCCAAUCCCAGAAACCCGAUCGUAGUCCGGAUCGCAGUCUGCAACUCGACUGCGGCGAAGUCGGAAUCGCUAGUAAUCGCGGAUCAGCAUGUCGCGGUGAAUACGUUCCCGGGUCUUGUACACACCGCCGUCACACCAUAGGAGUGGGUUUUACCAGAAGUAGUUAGCCUAACGUAAGGAGGCGAUUACCACGGUAGGAUUCAUGACUGGGGUGAAGUCGUAACAAGGUAG